UCGCCUCAGUCCCCGAGAAGAGAGCAGCUACCCGCUCCCCUCAACAAACACCUACCAGGGCAGGCAGGGGAGCUGGGCCAGGCCCCACCUGUACCCCUCACCCAUCCCCCAUGCUCACCAAUGUUGGGGUGCUUCAGCAGGCGGCAGAUGCGGGCUUCACGCUCCAGCUUCUGGUGGUCUGAAACACAGAUGCCCAGGCACGCGCUGCUCAGCCCUCCCACUCUGGAGCCUUCGCACACGCGGUUCUCUCAGCUUGGAAAGCUCCCUCUCGGCCUCCCACCUGUUCCUCACCGGCUGUCAUUCACUCCUACCCAUCCUUCGAUGUCGCCCUUUCCUGGCAGCCUGCCCCGACUACCAGCUGGUCACCCGGGAGCAGAGCUACACUGACAGGAUUGAAAGAAGAAAAUGUUCGUCACACAGCUUCAAAUGUGUGCCUGGGGACUUCCCUGGUGGCUCAGUGGUUAAGAAUCCGCCUGCCAAAGCAGGGGACACGGGUUCGAGCCAUGGCCUGGGAAGAUCCCACAUGCUGUGGAGCAGCUAAGUCAGUGAGCCACAACUACCGAGCCUGUGCUCUGGAGCCCACGAGCCACAACUACUGAAGCCAGUGCGCCUAGAGCCCGUGCUCUGCAGCAAGCGAAGCCACUGCAAUGAGAAGCCCGCGCACCGCAUCGAAGAGUAGCCCCCGCUCGCCGCAACUAGAGAAAGCCCACACACAGCAACGGAGACCCAAUGCAGCCAAAAAUAAAUAAAUAAAUAAAUUUAUUUUUUAAAAAAAGAAAAUGUGCCUGGUUACCAGACCUCACUGCUGGAAAAGCUAGGAACUAAUUCUUUUUAUAAAUCUUGUAAUCAUCUUGUGCAUAGUACAAUUACACUGCAUUGCAAAUUU